AUUGUGUAUAAUUUGAUCCUUUUAUUUCAGACCUUUAAACUUAUAAGCAAAGAAGUUUGUAUCAAGACAUUUCCAACAACAACAGCAAUCACAACUCAAACCACCCAUACAACCAACGCCACAACUCAAACUACCCAUACAACCAACGCCACAACUCAAACCACUCAUCCAACCAACGCCACAACUCAAACCACUCAUCCAACCAACGCCACAACUCAAACCACUCAUUCAACCAACGCCACAACUCAAACCACUCAUCCAACCAACGCCACAACUGCAACCACCCAUUCAACCAAUGCCACAACUCCAACCACUCAUUCAACCAACGCCACAACUGCAACCACCCAUCCAACCAACGCCACAACUCCAACCACACAUAUCACGUCCCCAAAAACUACUCCUAAAGGUGGAGCCAAUAUAGUCAGCUCUUGUACAGCGGUCACUUUGUUGAUAUUGUGUUUUGUCACAAACAAGCUAUCACACUAGAAGUGUCUCACUAAAACUUGAGAACUGUCACAUAUCAACCAAGACAUGACAGUGGGACUAUUUUGUUGUGUACUUCGACUCAUCUACUAAUUGAAUGUUUUGAUAUCAACGCAUAAAAAACAUCAUCAGAAAACAAUCAUCUCUGGUUCGAAAUAAAAGAAUGUUGUUCAACACUUUGGAAAAACCCAACAAUACGUGAAGUGAUUCAACAGUCGCCUGAUAACAGACACAAGUCUCUGGUGUGUUCUGUGAGAACCAACGUAGUGGACACUCUUCCACACCCAUACCAAUCUAUCAAUAGCAUUAGCUAUCUGAUUAAGACACCCAUGCUCCUUUGUUGACGUGAAGAAGCUAAGGUUUAUGUUAUCGUCAUUGUUAUCAGCACCAAAAGUCCACAACAAACUUACUAGAUCAUUUAUCAGUUGAUUACAAAAGUAGAUAGCAGGAAGUGGGUGGGCGUGUCUUUAUGUGAUAUCUUAAUAUGUGUAUAUAAAUAAAAUAACUAAAACUAGUGUGUACA
rnacentral:sRNA from 1 species